ACCUCAUAAAUCAACCCAUAUAAAACAAAAAAAAGCAUAUCCAUUCAACAUAGAAAAAUUAUGUUAGCUUAUGCAACCACCGGGAGCGUGCGCAUGUUGCGAGGACUCUUAUUUGUUUUUGGCCUAUGACGUGUUUUCGUCCGUUCAUUCGUUUUAAGCGUUCAGACACAACCACGUCCGCGUGAUGUGUACCUUGUCGGCUUGUCGCUUAGUUUUUUUUUCCUGUUUCAUUUUUAUUUUUUACUUACUUUUAUUUACAAUCUUUUUACUCUGUUCUAGAUGCAUUGAUUUUAUAUAUCUAAUAUAUACCUAAGUGUACAGUAAAAUCUAUGUAUUUAGAAAAUUCAAAUAUUUUAUAAUUUGGAAUGGCGAGAGCACUUCUUAUUAUUUCAAAUUUCCCUCUUCAUGCAUGGUCCAUUUUCUUUUUCUUUAGCAUUGAUGUGAUUGUACAUCAUUAUUUAUGUUAUGGGGCAUUUUUGUUCUAAAAGUCGUAUAUUUCUAUUUUAAUUAAGAUGGAAUAUCUUUUUCUACAGUAGCCUCUUCAUUCUAAAUUGCAAGUCGUUUUGAAUCUUCUAGUAGUAUAGCAAAAACGAUAUACACAAACAAACAUAAACGAUUUAUAACUUUGAACGGUGGGAGUACCUAUUGAAAAAAUAUGGAAUGGUUAAACACCAAAGUUCAAAUAUAUAUAUCACCAAAUGAUAUGUGUUUGCACAUUCUUCUUUGGACAAAAAAAGAUGUGAAUCUUACCGUGAGUCAAAUCAAAUAGACACAUUUUUUUAAUGAGAAUCGCUUAGAAUAAAUAUAUAAAAAAUAUGAGCAUAUGUGUCAAGUCAAUUAUUUAAACCUAGACGAUU
rnacentral:lncRNA from 1 species